UGCAUCGGCCGGGAAUCAAACCCGGGCCACCCGCAGGCGAGCAUUCUACUACUGAACCACCGAUGG